rnacentral:rRNA from 1 species
GACGAACGCUGGCGGCGUGCCUAACACAUGCAAGUCGAGCGGAGAUUUCUUUGGCACUGAGUACUCUAGUAAAGACGCAAAGGAAGCGUCAUGAAGAAACAACAUAGAUGUUAAAAACACUGAUAAAAAGUUUCUUCAUCACGCGUUUUUAAAGUGCCAACACAAAGAGGGAAGGAUAAGUAGAGUAUUGAGUGCCAAAGAAAUCUUAGCGGCGACGGGUGAGUAACACGUGGGCAACCUGCCUUGGAGUGGGGGAUAACACCGGGAAAUCGGUGCUAAUACCGCAUAACAUACACAAGCUGCAUGGUAUGUGUAUCAAAGGAGUAAUCCGCUUUAAGAUGGGCCCCGGCUGAUUAGCUAGUUGGUAAGGUAACGGCUUACCAAGGCGACGAUCAGUAGCCGAACCUGAGAGGGUGACCGGCCACACUGGAACUGAGACACGGUCCAAGACUCCUACGGGAGGCAGCAGUGGGGAAUAUGCGCAAUGGGGGAAA